GCCUACGGCCAAACCAACCUGAAAACUCUCGAUAUCAUCUGAUCUCGGAAGCUAAACAGGGUCAGGUUUGGUUAGUACUUGGAUGGGAGGUAUAUAAUCAAAUGUUUUAACAA
rnacentral:rRNA from 1 species